rnacentral:rRNA from 1 species
GACAGAGGAUGCAAGCGUUGUCCGGAAUCAUUGGGCGUAAAGAGCGUGUAGGCGGCCCGGUAAGUCCGCUGUAAAAGUCAAAGGCUCAACCUUUGAAUGUCAGUGGAUACUGCCGGGCUAGAGUCCGGAAGAGGCGAGUGGAACUCCUGGUGUAGCGGUGGAAUGCGCAGAUAUCAGGAAGAACACCAACGGCGAAGGCAGCUCGCUGGGACGGUACUGACGCUGAGACGCGAAAGCGUGGGGAGCGAACAGG